AUGUCGGCGCCCGGGCCGCGGGAGGCGCCGCAGGCGGGCGGGCCGGCGGGCCCCGAGGGCGCGGACGCGGCGCCGGGCGAGGCGGGCGCGGCGGCCGACCUGAGCCUGGUGGAGAUGACGGAGGUGGAGUACGCGCAGCUGCAGCACCUGCUGUGCGCGCACCUGGACGCCGACGCCGAGCUGGACGCGCGCCUCGGCCCGGCCUUCCUGGCGGCCGCGCCCGGGGCGGGCGGCGCGGGGCCCGCGGCGGGCGCGCCGCUCUUCCCGGUGCUGUGCCCGCCCGCGCUGGCGGACGGCGGCUUCGCGGGCGCCGCGCCCUGCCUGGGCCACGUCGACUUCCAGGAGCUGCGCAUGAUGCUGCUGAGCGAGGCGGGCCCCGCCGACCGCGCGCCGCCCGCGCCCGCGCCCGCGCCCGCGCCCCCCGCGCCCGCCCGCGCCCGGCCCGACGCCGCCUGCAAGGAGAACGCGGCGGCCGACGCGCCCGAGGCGCGGGCCAAGCCGGCCGUGCGCGUCCGCCUGGAGGACCGCUUCGGCAGCCCGGCCGAGCCCGCGCCCGCGCCCGCGCCCGCGCCCGCGCCCGCGCCCGCCCCGCGCGCCGCCGAGGCCCCCGAGCCCGGCCUGGCGCUCGGCAACUUGGUGACCCUCAUUCGGCACCCGUCGGAGUUAAUGAACGUUCCUCUGCACCAGCCGCAAGGCAAGUGCACGACGCUGGUGAAGAACAAGACGGCCGCGGCCACCGCCGCCCUGCAGUUCACCUACCCGCUCUUCUCCGCCAACGCCUGCUCGGCCGGCGGCGCCUCCGGCCUGCCCCAGGCUCAGAGUUCUGGCAGCUCGUGCUCCAUACUCGAGGCUGCCAAGCACCAGGACCUCGGGCUGCCCAGAGCGUUUUCGUUCUGCUACCAGCAAGAGAUCGAGUCCACCAAGCAGGCUUUGGGCGGCAGGAACAAAGCGCUGCCCGAGCAGGUUUGGAUUAAAGUGGGAGAAGCGCUAUGUAAACAAGCAAUAAAUAAGAGGAAUCGGAGUAGAAUCCGCCAGCUGGACACAAGCGUAGAGCGAAGGGCCCUUGGAGAGAUUCAGAACGUGGGCGAAGGCGCCCCGGCCGCACAGGGCGCCUGGCAGGCGGCGGAGGCCUCGCAGUCCAGCCUGGGGGAGCAGAGCCAGAGCGGGCCGCAGGGAGGAAGGUCCCAGCGUAGGGAGAGGCACAACCGCAUGGAGAGAGACAGAAGGCGCAGAAUCCGCAUCUGCUGCGACGAGCUGAACCUGCUCGUCCCGUUCUGCAACGCCGAGACCGACAAGGCCACGACGCUGCAGUGGACCACGGCCUUCCUGAAGUACAUCCAGGAGCGGCACGGGGACUCUCUGAAGAAGGAAUUUGAGAGCGUAUUUUGCGGUAAAACUGGCAGGAGGCUAAAGCUGACCAGACCAGACUCCUUGGUGACUUGCCCCGCGCAGGAGAGUCUGCAGAGCGGCCCCGCCGUGGACAUGGAGUGACCGGACCUGGCCCGGGCCCCACAGCCGGGACGCCAGAGGGGACUUUGAAAGCCCAUUUUGUGAAAAGAUUUAUCUAGAACGAAAUGCUUGUCCACUCAGGUCCUCAGACCAUUUGAGGAUGAAGACAUCUGGGCGAUUAGAGCUUCUAGGAGCUGACUUUUCCCCGCCCCCUCCUACCACGGCUCCCUGGCAGGCCGAGCUGUCGCAGAUGCCCGGGGUCCCCUGAGCACCAGCAGCACCGGGAAGGCCGGGAUCUCCAGGAAGGCCGGGCUCACCGAGGGCCCCGUCACGGCCGUCUCUGCUGGCACCAGGGACGCCCUGCGGUCCUGGGACAGAGCAGCCCUGCUUUGUCAGGAGGUGCGGCCUUUGGGACCCAAGAGCGUGCUGGGGCCGACCCUGCGCCGACCCGCGAGGACCAGGACCACGGCGGCGACCGAGACGGCGUACCUUGGAGCCCCUGGCCUCCGUCAGGCCCAUCCAGGCCCACGCCAGCUGCGCCCUUGUCUCCUCGGUCCCCCUGCGCCCCUGUCGGGGAUGGAACACGCACCAGCCUGUCAGCAGUGGGCCCUGUGGUGGCCGUAGUCACGAGGCCCGUCGGGGCACUGGAGCUGGCACUGCCCGGCCCCAGGCAGCACCCGACUGCGUCCCCAGCAGGGAGCCUCUGCCCGCAGCCCGGCCUCGUUGCGCUCUGCUACGUGUCUGGAGAACCAAUAAAAGUGGUAAAUGCCGCCUCCGAGGUCUGUCUCC